rnacentral:rRNA from 1 species
AACGCUAUGACGGCUUACACAUGCAGUUAGGGCAGCCGGGAUAGCAUACAACUGGUGGCGACCGGCGCACGGGUUAGUAACGCGUAUGCAACCUACCUAUCAGAGGGGAAUAACCCGGCGAAAGUCGGACUAAUACCGCAUAAAACAGGGGCACCGCAUGGUGAUAUUUGUGAAAGAAAUUCGCUGAUAGAUGGGCAUGCGUUCCAUUACGUAGUUGGUGAGGUAACGGCUCACCAAGCCGACGAUGGAUAGGGGAACUGAGAGGUUGGUCCCCCACACUGGUACUGAGACACGGACCAGACUCCUACGGGAGGCAGCAGUGAGGAAUAUUGGUCAAUGGACGCAAGUCUGAACCAGCCAAGUAGCGUGAAGGAUGACUGCCCUAUGGGUUGUAAACUUCUUUUAUAACGGAAUAAAGUCGGGUAUGGAUACCCGUUUGCAUGUACUUUAUGAAUCACGAUCGGCUAACUCCGUGCCAGCAGCCGCGGUAAUGCGGAGGAUUCGAGCGUUAUCCGGAUCUAUCGGGUUUAACGGGUCCGUAUGCGGGCGAUUAAGUCAGUGGUGAAAUCUCACAGCUCAACUGUGAAACUGCCAUUGAUACUGGUUGUCUUGAAUUAAGUUGAGGUGGGCGGAAUACGUUAUGUAGCGGUGAAAUGAUAGAUAUAACGUAAAACACCGAU